UACGUAGGUGGCGAGCGUUGUCCGGAUUUAUUGGGCGUAAAGCGCGCGCAGGCGGUCGCGUAAGUCUGCUGUGAAAUCUCCCUGGCUCAACCGGGAGGGGGCGGCGGAGACUGCGGGACUGGAGGGACCUAGAGGCCGGUGGAAUUCCCGAUGUAGUGGUGAAAUGCGUAGAUAUCGGAAGGAACACCUGUGGCGAAAGCGGCUCACUGGACCAUUACUGACGCUGAGGCACGAAAGCUAGGGGAGCAAACAGG
rnacentral:rRNA from 1 species